ACGGGAGGCAGCAGUAGGGAAUAUUGCACAAUGGGGGAAACCCUGAUGCAGCAACGCCACGUGUGGGAAGAAGCAUUUCGGUGUGUAAACCACUGUCGUGAGGGAAUAAUGCUUGGUUUCGGCCAAGUUGAAUGUACCUCGAAAGGAAGCACCGGCAAACUUCGUGCCAGCAGCCGCGGUAAUACGAGGGGUGCAAGCGUUGUUCGGAAUCACUGGGCGUAAAGGGAGCGCAGGCGGAGAUGCAAGCAGUCUGUACAAUACCGGGGCCCAACCCCGGACCUGCAGACUGGACUGUUUCUCUUGGAUAGUUCAGGGGCAAGCGGAAUUCCUGGUGUAGCGGUGGAAUGCGUAGAUAUUAGGAGGAACACCAGUGGCGAAGGCGGCUUGCUGGACGACAACUGACGCUGAGGCGCGAAAGCGUGGGGAGCAAACAGGAUUAGAUACCCUGGUA
rnacentral:rRNA from 1 species